rnacentral:rRNA from 1 species
UUAUUGGGCGUAAAGCGAGUGCAGGCGGUUCAAUAAGUCUGAUGUGAAAGCCUUCGGCUCAACCCGGAGAAUUGCAUCAGAAACUGUUGAACUUGAGUGCAGAAGAGGAGAGUGGAACUCCAUGUGUAGCGGUGGAAUGCGUAGAUAUAUGGAAGAACACCAGUGGCGAAGGCGGCUCUCUGGUCUGCAACUGACGCUGAGGCUCGAAAGCAUGGGUAGCGAACAGGAUUAGAUACCCUGGUAGUCCCAUGCCGUAAACGAUGAGUGCUAAGUGUUGGGAGGUUUCCGCCUCUCAGUGCUGCAGCUAACGCAUUAAGCACUCCGCCUGGGGAGUACGACCGCAAGGUUGAAACUCAAAGGAAUUGACGGGGGCCCGCACAAGCGGUGGAGCAUGUGGUUUAAUUCGAAGCAACGCGAAGAACCUUACCAGGUCUUGACAUCCAGUGCAAACCUAAGAGAUUAGGAGUUCUCUUCGGGGACGCUGAGACAGGUGGUGCAUGGCUGUCGUCAGCUCGUGUCGUGAGAUGUUGGGUUAAGUCCCGCAACGAGCGCAACCCUUGUCAUUAGUUGCCAUCAUUAAGUUGGGCACUCUAAUGAGACUGCCGGUGGCAAACCGGAGGAAGGUGGGGAUGACGUCAAGUCAUCAUGCCCCUUAUGACCUGGGCUACACACGUGCUACAAUGGACGGUACAACGAGAAGCGAACCUGCGAAGGCAAGCGGAUCUCUGAAAGCCGUUCUCAGUUCGGACUGUAGGCUGCAACUCGCCUACACGAAGCUGGAAUCGCUAGUAAUCGCGGAUCAGCACGCCGCGGUGAAUACGUUCCCGGGCCUUGUACACACCGCCCGUCACACCAUGAGAGUCUGUAACACCCAAAGCCGGUGGGAUAACCUUUAUAGGAGUCAGCCGUCUAAGGUAGGACAGAUGAUUAGGGUG